AUUGAACGCUGGCGGCAGGCCUAACACAUGCAAGUCGGACGGUAGCACAGGGGAGCUUGCUCCUCGGGUGACGAGUGGCGGACGGGUGAGUAAUGUCUGGGGAUCUGCCCGAUAGAGGGGGAUAACCACUGGAAACGGUGGCUAAUACCGCAUAACGUCGCAAGACCAAAGAGGGGGACCUUCGGGCCUCUCACUAUCGGAUGAACCCAGAUGGGAUUAGCUAGUAGGAGGGGUAAUGGCCCACCUAGGCGACGAUCCCUAGCUGGUCUGAGAGGAUGACCAGCCACACUGGAACUGAGACACGGGCCAGACUCCUACGGGAGGCAGCAGUGGGGAAUAUUGCACAAUGGGCGCAAGCCUGAUGCAGCCAUGCCGCGUGUAUGAAGAAGGCCUUCGGGUUGUAAAGUACUUUCAGCGGGGAGGAAGGCGGUGAGGUUAAUAACCUCGCCGAUUGACGUUACCCGCAGAAGAAGCACCGGCUAACUCCGUGCCAGCCGCCGCCGUAA
rnacentral:rRNA from 1 species